rnacentral:rRNA from 1 species
UACGUAGGGGCCAAGCGUUGUCCGGAUUUAUUGGGCGUAAAGAGCUCGUAGGCGGUUCGGUAAGUCGGGUGUGAAAACUCUGGGCUCAACCCAGAGACGCCACCCGAUACUGCUGUGACUUGAGUCCGGUAGGGGAGUGUGGAAUUCCUGGUGUAGCGGUGAAAUGCGCAGAUAUCAGGAGGAACACCAGCGGCGAAGGCGGCACUCUGGGCCGGUACUGACGCUGAGGAGCGAAAGCGUGGGGAGCAAACAGG